AGUGAACGCUGGCGGCAGGCCUAAUACAUGCAAGUCGAACGGCAGCACAGCAGAGCUUGCUCUGUGGGUGGCGAGUGGCGGACGGGUGAGGAAUACAUGGGAAUCUGCCCAGUCGUGGGGGAUAACGUAGGGAAACUUACGCUAAUACCGCAUGCGCCCUUCGGGGGAAAGCCGGGGACCUUCGGGCCUGGCGCGAUUGGAUGAGCCCAUGUCGGAUUAGCUAGUUGGCGGGGUAAAGGCCCACCAAGGCGACGAUCCGUAGCUGGUCUGAGAGGAUGAUCAGCCACACUGGAACUGAGACACGGUCCAGACUCCUACGGGAGGCAGCAGUAGGGAAUAUUGGACAAUGGGCGCAAGCCUGAUCCAGCCAUGCCGCGUGAGUGAAGAAGGCCUUCGGGUUGUAAAGCUCUUUUGUCCGGAAAGAAAAACCUUGGGUUAAUACCCUGAGGUUCUGACGGUACCGGAAGAAUAAGCACCGGCUAACUUCGUGCCAGCCGCCGCCGUAACAC
rnacentral:rRNA from 1 species